UAGGGAAUCUUCGGCAAUGGACGAAAGUCUGACCGAGCAACGCCGCGUGAGUGAAGAAGGUUUUCGGAUCGUAAAACUCUGUUGUUAGAGAAGAACAAGGACGUUAGUAACUGAACGUCCCCUGACGGUAUCUAACCAGAAAGCCACGGCUAACUACGUGCCAGCAGCCGCGGUAAUACGUAGGUGGCAAGCGUUGUCCGGAUUUAUUGGGCGUAAAGCGAGCGCAGGCGGUUUCUUAAGUCUGAUGUGAAAGCCCCCGGCUCAACCGGGGAGGGUCAUUGGAAACUGGGAGACUUGGGUGCAGAAGAGGGGAGUGGAAUUCCAUGUGUAGCGGUGAAAUGCGUAGAUAUAUGGAGGAAAACCAGUGGCGAAGGCGGCUCUCUGGUCUGUAACUGACGCUGAGGCUCGAAAGCGUGGGGAGCAAACAGG
rnacentral:rRNA from 1 species